GGUCAAGUUACAAAGAGCGCAGGGUGAAUGCCUUGCCACCAUGAGACGAUGAAGGACGUGACAAGCUGCGAAAAGCUUCGGGGAGGAGCACAUAUCCAUUGAUCCGGAGAUAUCCGAAUGGGGAAACCCGGUUAAGUUAAGAGCUUAAUCAGCAUAACAUGAAUCAAUAGUGUUAUGUGGUGAAACGAGGUGAACUGAAACAUCUAAGUAGCCUCAGGAAGAGAAAUCAAACGAGAUUCCGUAAGUAGUGGCGAGCGAAAGCGGAAGAGGCCAAACCAAGAAACUUCGGUUUUUUGGGGUAAGGACUACGAUAUUGACUGUAGGAGUUAGCCGAAUGAGCAGAAGGAAAGCUGAGUCCAAAGAGCGUAAUAGUCGCGUAGGCGAAAGCAAAUACAGCAUAGUAGGAUCCGGAGUACUGUGAGACACGAGAAAUCUUGCAGGAAAGCGGGGGGACCACCCUCCAAGCCUAAAUACUACAUGGUGAGCGAUAGAGAAGAAGUACUGUGAAGGAAAGGUGAAAAGAACCCCGGGAGGGGAGUGAAAGAGAACCUGAAACCCUGUGUUUACAAGCAGUUAGAGAGCGUUAAAGCUCGAUAGCGUACUUUUUGUAGAACGGUCCAACGAGUUAUGGCAUUUAGCGAGGUUAAGGACUAAAGGUCCGGAGCCGAAGGGAAACCGAGUGUGAUAAGCGCGUAAAGUUAGAUGUUAUAGACCCGAAACCGGGUGACCUACCCAUGAGCAGGUUGAAGGAGAGGUAAAACUCUCUGGAGGACCGAACCCGUAUCUGUUGAAAAAGGUUGGGAUGACUUGUGGGUAGCGGAGAAAUUCCAAUCGAACCCGGAGAUAGCUGGUUCUCCCCGAAAUAACUUUAGGGCUAGCCCAGUGACAGAGUCUUACGGAGGUAGAGCACUGAAUGGUCUAGGGGCCUUACCAGGCUACCAAAACUUAUCAAACUCCGAAUGCCGCAAAGAUAGAAACUGGAGUCAGUCAGUGACAGAUAAGUGCCAUUGACAAGAGGGAAACAACCCAGAUCGUCAGCUAAGGUCCCUAAAUUACAGCUAAGUGGAAAAGGAUGUGAGUUUGCAUAAACAGCUAGGAUGUUGGCUUAGAAGCAGCCACUCAUUAAAAGAGUGCGUAAUAGCUCACUAGUCGAGUGAAUUUGCGCCGAAGAUAAACGGGGCUAAGCUGUAUACCGAAGCUACGGAAUCGAAAGAUUGGUAGGGGAGCGUACUGUAAGCAGGAGAAGCAUGAUCGUGAGGACAUGUGGAUGUAUCAGUAGUGAGAAUGUUGGAAUAAGUAACGAGAGCAAGGUGAGAAUCCUUGCCGUCGAAAAUCUAAGGUUUCCCGGGGAAGGUUCGUCCGCCCGGGGUUAGUCGGGACCUAAGACGAGGCCGAGAGGCGUAGCCGAUGGAUAACAGGUCAAAAUUCCUGUACCACCGUUUCAUGUAUAAGAGAAGCAGGGACACAGGAGGAUAGUAACGCUCACUGCAAAAAGAGUGAGUUUAAGCAGAAUAACCGGUAUGUAGUAAAGUACGCAUACGGAAGGUAAGCUGUGAUGAGGAGGGAAAUCAAGUACCGAAGGUUAUGAUUCCACACUGGCGAGAAAAGCUGCUAUUUAGUGGAAAGGUGCCCGUACCGUAAACCGACACAGGUAGAUGAGGAGAGAAUCCUAAGACGAGCGGGAGAAGCGUUGUUAAGGAACUCGGCAAAUUAACCCCGUAAGUUAGCGAGAAGGGGAGCCUAAGAAAUUAGGCCGCAGAGAAAUGGCUCGAGCAACUGUUUAGCAAAAACACAGGUCUCCGCUAAAUCGUAAGAUGAAGUAUGGGGGCUGACGCCUGCCCGGUGCUGGAAGGUCAAGGGGAAAUGUUAGAGCAAUCGAAGCAUAGAACUUAAGCCCCAGUAAACGGCGGCCGUAACUAUAACGGUCCUAAGGUAGCGAAAUUCCUUGUCAGGUAAGUUCUGACCCGCACGAAUGGCGUAAUGACUUGAGCACUGUCUCAACAACGUACCCGGUGAAAUUGUAGUACUUGUGAAGAUGCAAGUUACCCGCAACUAGACGGAAAGACCCCAUGGAGCUUCACUGUAGAUUGUUACUGGGAUUCGAUAUUAUCUGUACAGGAUAGGUGGGAAGCUGAGAACUUAGCUCGUCAGAACUAAGGGAGCUGUCGGUGGGAUACCACUCUGAUGAUAUUGAGUUUCUAACCAGUUACCAUGAUCUGGUAAUGGGACAAUGGCAGUCGGACAGUUUGACUGGGGCGGUCGCCUCCAAAAAGGUAACGGAGGCGUUCAAAGGUUUCCUCAGCACGGUUGGAAAUCGUGCAACGAGUGCAAAGGCAUAAGGGAGCCUGACUGCGAGACAUACAAGUCGAGCAGAUACGAAAGUAGGACUUAGUGAUCCGGCGGUAGAAAGUGGAAUUGCCGUCGCUCAACGGAUAAAAGUUACCCUGGGGAUAACAGGCUGAUUCCUCCCAAGAGUUCACAUCGACGGGGGAGUUUGGCACCUCGAUGUCGGCUCAUCACAUCCUGGAGGGGAAGUCCCUUCCAAGGGUUCGGCUGUUCGCCGAUUAAAGUGGUACGCGAGCUGGGUUCAGAACGUCGUGAGACAGUUCGGUCCCUAUCUGUUGUGGGCGUUGGAAAUUUGAGAAGAGCUGUCCCUAGUACGAGAGGACCGGGAUGGACAAACCUCUGGUGCACCAGUUGUCAUGUUUAUGGCACAGCUGGGUAGCUAUGUUUGGACGGGAUAAACGCUGAAAGCAUCUAAGCGUGAAGCCUCCUUCAAGAUGAGAUUUCCUAAACCUUUAAGGUUAUAAGAUCCCUGAAAGAUAAACAGGUUGAUAGGUCUGGAGUGGAAGACAGUAAUGUACGUAGCGGACAGAUACUAAUGAUCGAAAACUUGACCAC
rnacentral:rRNA from 2 species